rnacentral:rRNA from 1 species
UACGUAGGGCGCAAGCGUUAUCCGGAAUUAUUGGGCGUAAAGAGCUCGUAGGCGGUUUGUCGCGUCGGCUGUGAAAACUCGGGGCUCAACUCCGAGCUUGCAGUCGAUACGGGCAGGCUAGAGUUCGGCAGGGGAGACUGGAAUUCCUGGUGUAGCGGUGAAAUGCGCAGAUAUCAGGAGGAACACCGGUGGCGAAGGCGGGUCUCUGGGCCGAUACUGACACUGAGGAGCGAAAGCGUGGGGAGCGAACAGG